rnacentral:rRNA from 1 species
UGCGUAGGCGGUUUUUUAAGUCAGAUGUGAAAUACCCGGGCUUAACCUGGGGGGUGCAUUUGAAACUGGGGAACUUGAGUGCAGGAGAGGAAAGUGGAAUUCCUAGUGUAGCGGUGAAAUGCGUAGAUAUUAGGAGGAACACCAGUGGCGAAGGCGACUUUCUGGACUGUAACUGACGCUGAGGCACGAAAGCGUGGGGAGCAAACAGGAUUAGAUACCCUGGUAGUCCACGCUGUAAACGAUGGAUACUAGGUGUAGGGAGCGAUAGCUCUCUGUGCCGCAGCUAACGCAAUAAGUAUCCCGCCUGGGGAGUACGAUCGCAAGGUUGAA